GACGAACGCUGGCGGCGUGCUUAACACAUGCAAGUCGAGCGAGGCCCUGCCUUCGGGCAGGUGUCCUAGCGGCGAACGGGUGAGUAACACGUGGGCAACCUACCCUCAGCUCUGGAAUAACCCCGGGAAACCGGGGCUAAUACCGGAUACGACCACGGCGGACAUCCGCUGUGGCGGAAAGUUUUUCGGCUGAGGAUGGGCCCGCGGCCUAUCAGCUUGUUGGUGGGGUCAAGGCCCACCAAGGCGACGACGGGUAGCCGGCCUGAGAGGGCGACCGGCCACACUGGGACUGAGACACGGCCCAGACUCCUACGGGAGGCAGCAGUGGGGAAUAUUGGGCAAUGGGCGCAAGCCUGACCCAGCCAUGCCGCGUGAGUGAUGAAGGCCUU
rnacentral:rRNA from 1 species